rnacentral:rRNA from 1 species
AGCGCCGGCUAACUACGUGCCAGCAGCCGCGGUAAUACGUAGGGCGCGAGCGUUGUCCGGAAUUAUUGGGCGUAAAGAGCUUGUAGGCGGUUUGUCGCGUCUGCUGUGAAAGGCCGGAGCUUAACUCCGUGUAUUGCAGUGGGUACGGGCAGACUAGAGUGCAGUAGGGGAGACUGGAAUUCCUGGUGUAGCGGUGGAAUGCGCAGAUAUCAGGAGGAACACCGAUGGCGAAGGCAGGUCUCUGGGCUGUAACUGACGCUGAGAAGCGAAAGCAUGGGGAGCGAACAGGAUUAGAUACCCUGGUAGUCCAUGCCGUAAACGUUGGGCACUAGGUGUGGGGAACAUUCCACGUUUUCCGCGCCGUAGCUAACGCAUUAAGUGCCCCGCCUGGGGAGUACGGCCGCAAGGCUAAAACUCAAAGAAAUUGACGGGGGCCCGCACAAGCGGCGGAGCAUGCGGAUUAAUUCGAUGCAACGCGAAGAACCUUACCAAGGCUUGACAUAUACUGGACCGCAUCAGAGAUGGUGUUUCCCUUCGGGGCUGGUAUACAGGUGGUGCAUGGUUGUCGUCAGCUCGUGUCGUGAGAUGUUGGGUUAAGUCCCGCAACGAGCGCAACCCUCGUUCUAUGUUGCCAGCACGUUAUGGUGGGGACUCAUAGGAGACUGCCGGGGUCAACUCGGAGGAAGGUGGGGAUGACGUCAAAUCAUCAUGCCCCUUAUGUCUUGGGCUUCACGCAUGCUACAAUGGCCGGUACAGAGGGUUGCGAUACUGUGAGGUGGAGCUAAUCCCUAAAAGCCGGUCUCAGUUCGGAUUGGGGUCUGCAACUCGACCCCAUGAAGUCGGAGUCGCUAGUAAUCGCAGAUCAGCAACGCUGCGGUGAAUACGUUCCCGGGCCUUGUACACACCGCCCGUCAAGUCACGAAAGUUGGUAACACCCAAAGCCGGUGGCCUAACCCUUUUGGGAGGGAGCCGUCUAAGGUGGGAUUGGCGAUUGGGACUAAGUCGUAACAAGGUAGCCGUACCGGAAGGUGCGGCUG